rnacentral:rRNA from 1 species
GACAGAGGGGGCAAGCGUUGCUCGGAAUUACUGGGCGUAAAGGGCGCGUAGGCGGGAUGGCAAGUCGGUCGUGAAAUCCUUCGGCUCAACCGAAGAACGUCGGCCGAUACUGCCGUUCUUGAGGGAUGCAGAGGAGAUUGGAAUUCCCGGUGUAGCGGUGAAAUGUGUAGAGAUCGGGAGGAACACCGGUGGCGAAGGCGGGUCUCUGGGCAUCUCCUGACGCUGAGACGCGAAAGCGUGGGGAGCGAACAGG